AUGUACCACACGUGUCCACUCCGGUCCUGAGCGCGCCGUCCGCACCCACCUGACAACCGCUCGCGAUGUUUCGUUAGCU
rnacentral:sRNA from 1 species